AUAAUCAGUAAAUGAGACACAAAAUCGGUUAGAGACAAAAUAGUGAAACUCUCAUCUCGAACACAUCGAGUCGAUGUGAAAACAAAGAAGCGCCCAAAAUCGGUCCUCUAUAGCUAGAAAUCCCAAAGCGAAACCCAAAAUCGGUCCUCUAGAAAUCUAUCCAGAUAAUAGAAAUACCAAAUUGAAAUCCCUCAAAAAUCUCACCUAAAUCGAAAUCCCUCAAAUCAGAAUGUGAAUUCGAUUGGGUGUUUAUGAUACUUGCUGGAAACUUCAUUUUGAAGCUAAAUCUUAAGAUUAGAAGCUGGUUUGAUGAGUUUUGAUUUGAAUUUGUGAAUCGUGUUGUGGGAAGAAGAAGACCACUAGGGUCUUUCGAUUCAGGCCAUUGUUUGUACAAAUUGACUCAAAGCUUUUUCAACUUCAUAUAUUCAAGAACUUGUACACAACUGUGGAAGUCGGCAAAGGGCAAGAAAAUAUAAAAGUGAAAUUUUAACAACUCAGAAAAUGAGAGGAAUUGGACGAGGAAAACAUGGGAGAGGUGGGACGAGCUGUGGUCGUGAAAAUUUUCAAGGACGUGGCAGUUUUGGAGCGACGUCUCAGCCACACAUACAAACCAGACGAGUAUAUGAUACAUCUAUAGAGAUAGGACAACCAAGUAACCCGAGUCAAGGACCUUUACAGACCAGAUGAGUAUCUAGUAACUCUCUCCAAAUACCUUCUUUAGAAACACAAUCAUCACGAAAUGUAGCAAAAACUGUGCAUUGCUCUCCAGAGGCUGAAAAUUGUGCAAGUUAGUUUCUGUUUUUUGUUGUUUUGUGAAAAUUAUUUUUGUUGAUUGAGUGGAGCUACUAAUGAACAAUAGUAUCCUUUUACUUUGCAAUUUCUUCCAGUAAUAAAAAAAGAGGAAGAGGGAGAGGAAAAUAUAAAUCUAAAAGUUUAGAAGUAAAAACUAAGUGUGGUGGCAAAAUCAAAAUUAUGAUUCCAGAUGACAUUGAUAGAGUAGUAGGUUCUGGGGCUAGAGAUAUUGUUAAUUACUUUGGUUUGAUCAUGAGGAGCACUAUCCCGUUCCAAGAUGGAAAUUAGCAGAAAAUAGUUCUGAAACACGGAGAAGUAAUGUGGUUAAAGGUCAAGGUAAUAAACUACUUUCAAUAUUGUAUUGACUUUAAGUUGCAAGGUUUAUUUAUGUGAUUAGGAUAUUGAAUAUAAUGUUACAUUUAUUGUCAGGAUAAAUUUGAAGUUUGCAGCGGGUUGCGAUAGCAUAGGUUUCAGGUCGUUGUAAUUAGCACUAUGCAAAGGCGUUUUAGAGCAUGGAAAGCUCGACUCAGCAUUCUUUACUCUAAGUACAACAAUAAUAAAGAAAUAUUGUCUCAUCGACCUGAAGAUGUUGAGCUUGAGGACUAGAAAUACCUAAUACAAUAUUUUGGAAGUCCGGAAUUUAAGGUACCAAAUGGCAGUAAACACCGCCAAUGACCCUCUUGGAAAUGUGAUUGCGGGGGAGGAGGUAGAUGACGUCGGAGAUGAUGACGUGCCUCUUGUACCUCAAGGACAACGUAGAGGCCACCAGGUCAAUGCUAAUGCAAAUGAAAAUAUUCCAAACCCUCCUCCGCCACCUCCACGAGUGGCUCCUAGAGUGCUUCCGAACCAAGUCUAUGCAAGUGAUAUUAUCCCACCCCGAAUCCGGGCGGACAAUUUCAAAUAACCAAUGUGAUGCUGAAUUUUCUAGGAGCUGGU